GGAUGCGAUCAUACCAGCACUAAAGCACCGGAUCCCAUCAGAACUCCGAAGUUAAGCGUGCUUGGGCGAGAGUAGUACUAGGAUGGGUGACCUCUUGGGAAGUCCUCGUGUUGCNNNNN
rnacentral:rRNA from 1 species